ACAUCAGAUAUCAGUUUGACAGUCGACGUUUGGUCGACGCAAAGAUUUUAAUCAAAAAUGUAACAAAAUUUGGAGUAUUUCCCAUUUAAAUCUUAAAGUGCUACAUACCCUUAAUAUAUAUAAUAUAAAAAUAUAUCACAAUUUUCACAAUGUUAGCGAAAAGAGCUACUGAGGAUGCAAUUAUACAGAAGUUGCUAUGUUAUGCGACUAUGAUACUACUAUUGGUAUAUUUUAUGAAGUUCUUGAAGCAAAUGACUAGAGGACGACGUUCCGCGGAGCCGCAGUGUACCCCAGAGCCAGCUUGUUCGGCGCCUUGCGCACACUCAUCCUCAAAGGCAAGCCCCCCGGAUGCUCAGAAAGAAGAUCAUAAGACGUGUAAGAAACCUAGAAGACGGCGACACCACAGGUGUCGAUCCUAAAACCUCACGCGGGAUAGUUAUAAGGGUAAGUAGCAAAGCAAAAAAAUACAAGACAAGCACGAAGAUAAUCAAGAUCACAAAUCACAAUAACUUAACGUGUAGAGAUAACGUUUCUACACUAAAAAUACAAUAAACUAAUUUACUCUAA